GUCUGUGGUCAGGUUCUGACCAAUCAGAUGGCUCUGUGGUCAGGUUCUGACCAAUCAGAUGGCUCUGUGGUCAGGUUCUGACCAAUCAGAUGGCUCUGUGGUCAGGUUCUGGCCAAUCAGAUGGCUCUGUGGUCAGGUUCUGACCAAUCAGAUGGCUCUGUGGUCAGGUUCUGGCCAAUCAGAUGGCUCUGUGGUCAGGUUCUGGCCAAUCAGAUGCCUCUGUGGUGGUGUUGUGACUACUGCUGUCUCAGUACUCCUGGAGGACCCCUGGUGUUUCUGAUAGAUUAACUUCCGUCCAGCCCGGGAUUCAAUCAAAGGCGCAUUGUGGAUUAUUAGCACACCAAAUUAGACUGUUCAAUCUAAUGUAGACUUCAGCUGACAUCCGCAGCGUUUACCAUGAAUACCAUCUCCACGAAGGUCAGAGAAAUGACCUGCUUAAAGGUGCAUUGUGGACAGUGCGCCUUUGGUUGAAUCCCAGCCACGGUCUCAUUCAGACCUGGGACACCAAAUCAUGUAUCAAAUACAUGUCCCAAAAUGGCACCCUAUUCCCUACAUAGUGCACUCCUUUUGACCAGAAUAGCACCCUAUUCCCGAUAUAGUGCACUACAUUUGACCAGAGCCCUAAAAGUAGUCACAGUAUAGGAAAUAGGGAGCAAUUUUGGACAUCAUCAGUGCUUCAAUCCCAAAUGGCUCACUAUGUAGUCUACUACCUUUGACCAGAGGCCAUAGGGGAAUAGGAGGCCAUAGGGGAAUAGGAGGCCAUAGGGGAAUAGGAGGCCAUAGGGGAAUAGGAGGCCAUUCAGUGUCUGUCAGCCCUCCAGGUCUAGUUUGACCUUACAUCUCCCUGGUUAAAUGGAACUGGAUUCGUCACUCACUGCUUCUCAAUGUUUUAUGGAGUGUAUGUAUAUUAUUAUAUGAUCACAUUUUAAAACAACUGAUGUGUUGACCUCUAAGUACCCUGUGAACUGUUUGUGUUGAGAAAAAAAUUAAAAUAAAU
rnacentral:lncRNA from 1 species